rnacentral:rRNA from 1 species
CUACGGGGCGCUCCAGUAGGGAAUAUUGCAUAAUGGGCGAAAGCCUGAUGCAGCAACGCCGCGUGCGCGAUGAGGGCCUUCGGGUUGUAAAGCGCUUUUCUGAGGGAAGAGGAAGGACUGUACCUCAGGAAUAAGUCUCGGCUAACUACGUGCCAGCAGCCGCGGUAACACGUAGGAGGCAAGCGUUAUCCGGAUUUACUGGGCGUAAAGCGCGUGUAGGCGGUUUGGCAAGUCGGAUGUGAAAGCUCCUGGCUCAACUGGGAGAGGUCGUUCGAAACUGCCAGACUAGAGGACGGUAGAGGAAGAUGGAAUUCCCGGUAUAGUAGUGAAAUGCGUAGAUAUCGGGAGGAACACCAGUGGCGAAGGCGGUCUUCUGGGCCGUUCCUGACGCUGAGACGCGAAAGCAUGGGUAGCGAACGGGAUUAGAUACCCGAGUAGUC